rnacentral:ncRNA from 2 species
GAGACACCACUACAUGUAUGCUCACUCCUGCUGUCGAUGCAGGGGAACCCGGUGAGAGUCCGGGACUGCCCCGCAGCGGUGUGCGGGCGGCUCCAGCAGCUGUGCCCGCGAGUCCGAGUACCUGCCGACAGCGUGCGCCACGG